UAGCUCAGUGGUAGAGCACAUGCUGAGCAUGCAUGAGAUCCUGGGUUCAAUCCCCAG
rnacentral:tRNA from 1 species